rnacentral:RNase_P_RNA from 2 species
GUCCGAUGGCCGCGAAGCUCACAACGCACAAGAUGAUUCAAUCACCUUUCUUCGUGAGCGGGCUACUUAAGGUCUGAGUAUCCUAAUCCGUCUCAAGUGGACACCAGCUUUAACGAGCUGAGCGACGUACCAGAAACACGACAUAUGAUUGCGGCCAGCAUUGCCGCCUCUGUCUGCUAGUCUCCGAAGAUCCAUCAAUCCAUCCAGGAGCCGCUCCGUUUGGUAGAGGGGAGGAAGCUGAUCAUGGAGCUCGUAUGUCUUGAAUAGCGUCGUUGGAGUUGGGUGCGUGUCAAUCCCCUUCAUCACCUCCAACCUUUUCCUAUCUCUUGGCGCUGUCUUCCUGCCUUCUACCUGCUCGCGCAGCCGGUGGACUGAGGACAAGGGCUCUUGCCUCUGAAAUAGCAUCUUUGGUCUUUUAAUCAAGGCAAAGAUCUGGCGUCAGAAGCAGCUGUUUGGAGUGGAACUGGCUGGAUGUGGCGAAUGUGAAACCACAUCCUUGAGUGCACUUUGCGGCUCGUGCGCACUUCUCUUCGGGGAAUAGGCCACGAAAACUCGAUGCAGACUACACUUGGAC